UAGGGAAUAUUGGACAAUGGGGGAAACCCUGAUCCAGCAAUGCAGCGUGAGUGACGAAGGCCUUAGGGUUGUAAAACUCUUUCAUCGGUGAGGAUAAUGACAGUAGCCGAAGAAGAAGGACCGGCUAAUUCCGUGCCAGCAGCCGCGGUAAUACGGAAGGUCCUAGCGUUGUUCGGAAUUACUGGGCGUAAAGCGCAUGUAGGCGGAACAAAAAGUUAGAAGUGAAAUCCCUGGGCUCAACCUAGGAAUUGCUUUUAAAACUUUUGUUCUGGAAUUCAGGAGAGGAAAAUGGAAUUUCCAGUGUAGAGGUGAAAUUCGUAGAUAUUGGAAGGAACACCAGUGGCGAAGGCGAUUUUCUGGACUGAUAUUGACGCUGAGAUGCGAAGGCAUGGGUAGCAAACGGG
rnacentral:rRNA from 2 species